rnacentral:rRNA from 1 species
GACGAACGCUGGCGGCGUGCUUAACACAUGCAAGUCGAGCGACGCUCUUCCUUCGGGGAGCUGACGGAGCGGCGAACGGGUGAGUAACACGUGGGCAACCUGCCCCUAGCUCUGGGACAACACCGGGAAACCGGUGCUAAUACCGGAUACGACAUCGAGCGGCAUCUCUCGAUGUGGAAAGUUUUUUCGGCUAGGGAUGGGCCCGCGGCCUAUCAGCUUGUUGGUGGGGUAAUGGCCCACCAAGGCGACGACGGGUAGCCGGCCUGAGAGGGCGACCGGCCAAACUGGGACUGAGACACGGCCCAGACUCCUACGGGAGGCAGCGGUGGGGAAUAUUGCGCAAUGGGCGAAAGCCUGACGCAGCGACGCCGCGUGAGGGAUGACGGCCUUCGGGUAGUAAACCUCUUUCAGCAGGGACGAAUUCAGACGGUACCUGCAGAAGAAGCACCGGCCAACUACGUG